GGGGACGAUCGGUUUCGACGACGAUCGCAAUGAAUGUGAAGCGGGUCGAGGACGCACAGUCAUCUCGUAAACGAUUCUGUGCAACCUACAGGUGCCAACUCUAAGCGCACCGAUUUCGCUCUCGCUGCCUAAAGCGAAGUAGAAAUCCGUCAGCGCGUGGUCCGCUCUUGCCACGCAUCCUGGCGUCGUUUUAAGAGCCACUGCGCCUCGUCAGUGCGCAUGGGACGAGGUGAACACCUACAUGUGCUAAGUCCGUCAGCGUUAUGUCUGUGCAAGCGCUGGGGCCGAAAACAACGAUAAUCAGACUGCACCCGGAGAAGCCAUUUAUUAACAUCGUCGGACGCGGGUUCGAUUCCCGCCGUCUCCACUG
rnacentral:tmRNA from 1 species